rnacentral:rRNA from 1 species
GACGAACGCUGGCGGCGUGCCUAAUACAUGCAAGUCGAGCGCAGGAAACUGACGGAACUCUUCGGAGGGAAGGCAGUGGAAUGAGCGGCGGACGGGUGAGUAACACAUAAGGAACCUGCCUCAAGGAUUGGGAUAACUCCGAGAAAUCGGAGCUAAUACCGGAUAGUUCAACGGACCGCAUGGUCCGCUGAUGAAAGGCGCUCCGGCGUCACCUUGAGAUGGCCUUGCGGUGCAUUAGCUAGUUGGUGGGGUAAGGGCCCACCAAGGCGACGAUGCAUAGCCGACCUGAGAGGGUGAUCGGCCACACUGGGACUGAGACACGGCCCAGACUCCUACGGGAGGCAGCAGUAGGGAAUCUUCCACAAAGGACGAAAGUCUGAUGGAGCAACGCCGCGUGAGUGAUGAAGGUUUUCGGAUCGUAAAACUCUGUUGUAAGGGAAGAACACGUACGAGAGGGAAUGCUCGUACCUUGACGGUACCUUACGAGAAAGCCACGGCUAACUACGUGCCAGCCGCCGCCGUAAAAC